UUAUGAGCGUUGAGGCAGAAAAGUAAUUUAUUGAUCCGUGAAUUCAGAAACUUGGCGGCUGAUGCGAGCCAAGCGGGUAAUAAAUGAACUUACAUCUGUGGAGCUUUUGUUUAACGAGUCAUUUCGUUAUCAAUGAUAUGAGAGAUUGUUGGAUCUUGUCCGGCAAUAACUUGGGUGGUAACGCGGAAAAUUCGUCCCUGGC
rnacentral:ncRNA from 1 species